rnacentral:rRNA from 1 species
CAUGCAAGUCGAGCGGAAACGAGUUAUCUGAACCUUCGGGGGACGAUAACGGCGUCGAGCGGCGGACGGGUGAGUAAUGCCUAGGAAAUUGCCCUGAUGUGGGGGAUAACCAUUGGAAACGAUGGCUAAUACCGCAUGAUGCCUACGGGCCAAAGAGGGGGACCUUCGGGCCUCUCGCGUCAGGAUAUGCCUAGGUGGGAUUAGCUAGUUGGUGAGGUAAGGGCUCACCAAGGCGACGAUCCCUAGCUGGUCUGAGAGGAUGAUCAGCCACACUGGAACUGAGACACGGUCCAGACUCCUACGGGAGGCAGCAGUGGGGAAUAUUGCACAAUGGGCGCAAGCCUGAUGCAGCCAUGCCGCGUGUGUGAAGAAGGCCUUCGGGUUGUAAAGCACUUUCAGUCGUGAGGAAGGUAGUGUAGUUAAUAGCUGCAUUAUUUGACGUUAGCGACAGAAGAAGCACCGGCUAACUCCGUGCCAGCAGCCGCGGUAAUACGGAGGGUGCGAGCGUUAAUCGGAAUUACUGGGCGUAAAGCGCAUGCAGGUGGUUUGUUAAGUCAGAUGUGAAAGCCCGGGGCUCAACCUCGGAAUUGCAUUUGAAACUGGCAGACUAGAGUACUGUAGAGGGGGGUAGAAUUUCAGGUGUAGCGGUGAAAUGCGUAGAGAUCUGAAGGAAUACCGGUGGCGAAGGCGGCCCCCUGGACAGAUACUGACACUCAGAUGCGAAAGCGUGGGGAGCAAACAGGAUUAGAUACCCUGGUAGUCCACGCCGUAAACGAUGUCUACUUGGAGGUUGUGGCCUUGAGCCGUGGCUUUCGGAGCUAACGCGUUAAGUAGACCGCCUGGGGAGUACGGUCGCAAGAUUAAAACUCAAAUGAAUUGACGGGGGCCCGCACAAGCGGUGGAGCAUGUGGUUUAAUUCGAUGCAACGCGAAGAACCUUACCUACUCUUGACAUCCAGAGAACUUUCCAGAGAUGGAUUGGUGCCUUCGGGAACUCUGAGACAGGUGCUGCAUGGCUGUCGUCAGCUCGUGUUGUGAAAUGUUGGGUUAAGUCCCGCAACGAGCGCAACCCUUAUCCUUGUUUGCCAGCGAGUAAUGUCGGGAACUCCAGGGAGACUGCCGGUGAUAAACCGGAGGAAGGUGGGGACGACGUCAAGUCAUCAUGGCCCUUACGAGUAGGGCUACACACGUGCUACAAUGGCGCAUACAGAGGGCGGCCAACUUGCGAAAGUGAGCGAAUCCCAAAAAGUGCGUCGUAGUCCGGAUUGGAGUCUGCAACUCGACUCCAUGAAGUCGGAAUCGCUAGUAAUCGUGGAUCAGAAUGCCACGGUGAAUACGUUCCCGGGCCUUGUACACACCGCCCGUCACACCAUGGGAGUGGGCUGCAAAAGAAGUAGGUAGUUUAACCUUCGGG